UCCGGCCUUCCUCGGGAACCGCUUCUUGUUUCCCUCUCGGCGUCUGUUAGCUUCGGUAGUCGUACGUACAGCUCUCAAGAAGGGAUGGAGGCUUGGUCAUGUGUCCUGGUUAAUGCACGAAGAAGAGGAGGAGACAAGUCGUCCAGCGAGAAGGGAUUCGAGGUGACGGAGAUCAAGCAAGGUGGGACAAUCGAUCGAUAUUAAGUUGGAAGAAAAGGGUUGGAUUUCAAGGGUUAGAAAGGAAAAAUCUGCGAAAAUGUUGGUCGAUUGGAUUAGAGAUUAUUUUUCUGAGGUUGGCAUACAAAAAAAGAGGAGCUCAAGAAUUUGUCUGGUGAAGCACAUUCAACGUUUGUAUUGUUUGUCUUUGAUCAUUUGGUGAGAGAACUUGAGGAAAGCAAUGGAAAAUUUUGCUUACUGGUAAACUUUCAUACAAUUUGACUCAUUAGACAUUAUAAAUUUAUAAUGUGAUAUGGUCCCAGGCAAUUAGGUAGUUCAUCACAAUCUCAAAGCUUCUCAAACUAGAACAAGAACUAUGGCAUAUGAUUGCAAGAACAUCCUGUCAUUCACCUGUUCUGUUCAUGAAUGUCUUGUUGGAUGCCCAACAUAAAAGCCUAACACAAAAGCCAGCCAAAAGAAUAAAUCUUGGAAGCUUUUUUUUGAUACUACACCAAAUUGAACACCCAGUGGCUGGCAAAGAGGCCCUACAUGUUGAUGUCUGAUGUGAUACAUGUUGCACUGGAGACAUGAAUGCCAUACCCUUUCCUGCAGUAUCUAUGAUUGAACAUAAUUGAAUGGUGAGUCCAAACUGAUUCCUGCAUUGAUCUUCCUAUACACUAACAAAA